rnacentral:rRNA from 1 species
AUUGAACGCUGGCGGCAUGCCUUACACAUGCAAGUCGAACGGCAGCACGGGCUUCGGUCUGGUGGCGAGUGGCGAACGGGUGAGUAAAGUAUCGGAACGUACCUUUCAGUGGGGGAUAACGUAGCGAAAGUUACGCUAAUACCGCAUAUUGUGUGAGCAGGAAAGCAGGGGAUCGCAAGACCUUGCGCUGAUUGAGCGGCCGAUAUCAGAUUAGCUAGUUGGUGGGGUAAAGGCCUACCAAGGCGACGAUCUGUAGCGGGUCUGAGAGGAUGAUCCGCCACACUGGAACUGAGACACGGUCCAGACUCCUACGGGAGGCAGCAGUGGGGAAUUCUGGACAAUGGGGGCAACCCUGAUCCAGCCAUGCCGCGUGAGUGAAGAAGGCCUUCGGGUUGUAAAGCUCUUUCGGCCGGGAAGAAAUCGCAUGGGCUAAUACCCUGUGUGGAUGACGGUACCGGAAUAAGAAGCACCGGCUAACUACGUGCCAGCCGCCGCGGUAACAC